UGGGCUGGUCGAAAGACCCGGGUCCAACCGAUUUGGUAGGCAGACUGCCU
rnacentral:ncRNA from 1 species